GACGAACGCUGGCGGCGUGCUUAACUCAUGCAAGUCGAACGGAAAGGCCCUGCUUUUGUGGGGUGCUCGAGUGGCGAACGGGUGAGUAACACGUGAGUAACCUGCCCUUGACUUUGGGAUAACUUCAGGAAACUGGGGCUAAUACCGGAUAGGAGCUCCUGCUGCAUGGUGGGGGUUGGAAAGUUUCGGCGGUUGGGGAUGGACUCGCGGCUUAUCAGCUUGUUGGUGGGGUAGUGGCUUACCAAGGCUUUGACGGGUAGCCGGCCUGAGAGGGUGACCGGCCACAUUGGGACUGAGAUACGGCCCAGACUCCUACGGGAGGCAGCAGUGGGGAAGAUUGCACAAUGGGCGGAAGCCUGAUGCAGCAACGCCGCGUGCGGGAUGACGGCCUUCGGGUUGUAAACCGCUUUCGCCGGUGACGAAGCGUGAGUGACGGUAAUGGGUAAAGAAGCACCGGCUAACUACGUG
rnacentral:rRNA from 1 species